UACAGAGACUGCGAGCGUUAUUCGGAAUCACUGGGCGUAAAGGGUGCGUAGGCGGGUCUUUAAGUCAGGGGUGAAAUCCUGGAGCUCAACUCCAGAACUGCCUUUGAUACUGAGGAUCUUGAGUUCGGGAGAGGUGAGUGGAACUGCGAGUGUAGAGGUGAAAUUCGUAGAUAUUCGCAAGAACACCAGUGGCGAAGGCGGCUCACUGGCCCGAUACUGACGCUGAGGCACGAAAGCGUGGGGAGCAAACAGG
rnacentral:rRNA from 1 species